CUCCUCCCCGGCUCCGCCCCGCCUCCCCGGGCCCGCCGCUCCUCGCGGCCUCCGCGUCUUCCUUCCGGGUCGCGCUAGGCCGGGCUUGCGGCGGUUGUGCCGCAUCUAGAGAGUCGGGGAGCCGCCCCCGCACCCAGGCCUUCUCGCGCUGCCUGGUCGCUGGUGAAGCCCGCGGCGCGCGCCUCUCCCGGACCCUGCAGGGUAAAAGAAUGUCACAUGUCAGCAUUUGUACCUGAAGUCAGCAUGCAAAGUUCAGGGUACCUGGAUGAAUGCCAACUUUUGCAUUUCCCAUGUGUAUCCUGUGACCAUUCUAUCUGGGAACAUCCUUCAAAGAGUUCAUGCAUCUUACUGAGGACACCUGACCUUUUGAAGCUUCAUAAUUCACAUCUAGAUGUCACCGGUCUUUCCCAUGUUAACAGUUCUGACCAUGUUUUAUUAUAUAUGCCUUCGGCGCCGAGCCAGGACAGCUACAAGAGGAGAAAUGAUGAACACCCAUAGAGCUAUAGAAUCAAACAGCCAGACUUCCCCUCUCAAUGCAGAGGUAGUCCAGUAUGCCAAAGAAGUAGUGGAUUUCAGUUCCCAUUAUGGAAGUGAGAAUAGUAUGUCCUAUACUAUGUGGAAUUUGGCUGGUGUACCAAAUGUAUUCCCAAGUUCUGGUGACUUUACUCAGACAGCUGUGUUUCGAACUUAUGGGACAUGGUGGGAUCAGUGUCCUAGUGCUUCCUUGCCAUUCAAGAGGACGCCACCUAAUUUUCAGAGCCAGGACUAUGUGGAACUUACUUUUGAACAACAGGUGUAUCCUACAGCUGUACAUGUUCUAGAAACCUAUCAUCCCGGAGCAGUCAUUAGAAUUCUCGCUUGUUCUGCAAAUCCUUAUUCCCCAAAUCCACCAGCUGAAGUAAGCUUAUUCAGCUGAUUCUGAAUCAUCUUACACUACCAGACCUGUGUAGAUUAGCACAGACUUGCAAACUACUGAGCCAGCAUUGCUGUGAUCCUCUGCAAUACAUCCACCUCAAUCUGCAACCAUACUGGGCAAAACUAGAUGACACUUCUCUGGAAUUUCUACAGUCUCGCUGCACUCUUGUCCAGUGGCUUAAUUUAUCUUGGACUGGCAAUAGAGGCUUCAUCUCUGUUGCAGGAUUUAGCAGGUUUCUGAAGGUUUGUGGAUCCGAAUUAGUACGCCUUGAAUUGUCUUGCAGCCACUUUCUUAAUGAAACUUGCUUAGAAGUUAUUUCUGAGAUGUGUCCAAAUCUACAGGCCUUAAAUCUCUCCUCCUGUGAUAAGCUACCACCUCAAGCUUUCAACCACAUUGCCAAGUUAUGCAGCCUUAAACGACUUGUUCUCUAUCGAACAAAAGUAGAGGUGAGAGUAAUUCAUAAUUUUCAUCAUUGCUAUUAUGGUAGCCAACUGAAGAUUUGGUUUUCUGUAAUUGCUCAUAAUAAUGUGUUUUUUAUUUUUAAAUCAAGUUUAUGAUGCCUUCUGACUACUCUGAAAUCAAUAGAGCUGAUUCAGUCAUUGUGAAGUUAUUUCAAACCUAAUAUGCUUUUAAAUUAUAAGGAAAUGUUCUUCUCUAUGCUCUUAAAAUUUUUGUGAUGCUAUUUAUGUCCCCAGGAAAAAAAAUAAGCGUUGGUUGAGGUAAGCCAAAAUGCUGGCAGGGAAUGAAUUAGAGAAAGGUAGGAGGAUAAUAUGUAAGAGGACAUUUGCUUGCAGUGGGAGGAAGCAAAGUGAUAUUUAUCCUGGACCAGACUUGGGGGUUAAAAUUUGUAAUACCAUAGUUAAUGAGUCUCAUUUAAAAAGGAAUCAUGUCAUAUAUAUUAGUCUACUUGCUUUUUCACUAAUAUCUCUAGGACAUGUUUCCAGGGUCAGUGCAUAUAUUAUCUAACUCUUUUACUGUAAUAGUGUAUGUUAUACCAUAAUCUAUUUAACAUUCUCCAAAUGAUCAACAUUUAGUUUUUCCAGUUGUUUUCCUUUUACAAACUACCUAGCACUAACAUUCUUCUGUGCAUAGUUUUUUUUUUCUUUUUUGAGACGGAGUCUCACUCUGUUGCCCAGGCUGGAGUGCAAUGGCAUGGUCUCAGCUCACUGAAACCUCCGCCUGACCAGUUCAAGCGAUUCUCCUGCCUCAGCCUCCUGAGUAUCUGGGAUUACAGGCACGUGCCACCAUGCCCAGCUAAUUUUUGUAUUUUUAGUAGAGACGGGGUUUCACCAUGAGCCUGUGCAUGGUUUUACACAUACUUACUAUUACUGCUGUUGGAUAGAGUCCUAGAGGUGGUAUUGCUAGGUUAAAGAGUAUGUACCUGGGCCCCUGUAGUACAUACUGUUUGUCAUAUACUUUUUCCCUCUGCUGCAUGCAUAUUGGCCUUCUUUCUAUUCCUUGAAUGUUCUGACCUGGUCCCAGCUCAGGGCUUUUGUUUUUUUGCCUGUCUGGAAUGUUUGUCUAGCUCAUUAUGGCUGCCCUUUUUUCAGCUCAGUGUUCAACUUGCAUAUUUUUUUAGAGAUGGCUUCCUGGAUACUGUAGCACCCCUUCUAGUUUGUUUCCUUCAUAUCAUCAAGUUUCAUUUCCUUUUUAACAUCCUUGUCACUCUCUGAAAUGAUACUUGUUUUCUUGCUUAUUUUCUGUCUUCUCACAUUAGGAUAUAAUGGUAGAAGCCUUGUUGGUCUUUUUCAUUGCCAUAUUUCCAGAAUCUAGAAUAGUACUUGGUAAAGAUUGGCCAUUCAGUAAAUAUUUGUUAAGUAAAUGAAUAAAGAUAACCAAAUUACUUUUCCAAAAUGAUAUACCAGUGACUUGGGAGACUGGAUUAGUUCUGGUGGGAAUGGUUUGGUUCCCAAGAGAGCAGGUGGUUGUAAAGCAAGGAUGCCUUUUGUGUUUGGCCUCUUUGUACUGUCUGCCUCCCCUUUGAUCUUCUGCCAUGUUAAGACACAGCAGGAAAGCCCUUACCAGAAGCCGAGCAGAUGACAGUGCCAUGCCCCUUGAAAUUCCCAGCCUCCAUACCUGUGAGCUAAAUAAACUCUUUUUCUUUAUCAGCUACCCACCCUCAGGUAUUUUGUUAUAGCAACACCGAAUGAAUUAAGAUGGCAUUAUUCUCAAUUUUGGGCAAAAUAUUUAGCUAGGCUUCAACAGGUGACCUGGCAGGGUGGAAAGAAGACUUUGAUUCUAGUUCUAGCCCUGCCAGCAAUAAGCUUGGUAAUCUAGGUGAAGACAUUGUCUCAGAUUUCCAGAUUUUUUAUUUGUAAAAUGAAAUAAUUAUUGUCCCUGAAUGCCAGAUGAUAUUAGCCUGUGUUUUCAUUGGUCUGUGGUGAAAUGACUCCCCAUUUGUGUGGGUAUAAAAUUGCUAGCUAUCUUUUCUUGGGUAGGACUGUUCAUUCUGAAAUUAUGCCAUACCUGCUUUUUACUGGCACAUUUACUAUUUUAUGGGCCUAAGUACUAUAAACGAAAUCCUCUGAGCAAGGAGGAUUUAAAUGCCUCAUUUAAAAUUUUCUGAUUGUUUAAUAAGAAAUAUAGCAGGCAUAAUUAUUAAAUGUAGUUAUUAAAUGAGCCUUUGAGAAGAAAAAUAGGGUAAAAACCAAAAAAAUAUUAACUUGCUAGGCAUCUUAUAUCUAUUGUGGCUUGUGAAAAUAUAUCCCAUGAGAUGUUUUUGAAAUGUUGUAUAGUAAUGUGAUCUAAGUGUCAGAGAAUUAUUAGUCUACAGUUUUCUUAAAUUUGUUUCAGACUGAUAGAUAUGACCAAAUUUUUUAAGUGUGAUUUAUGAGGAUUAAGAAGAUUUCAUAUCUGAAGAGUGGAAAUUUAUACAUAUGUACCUAGGUCUAGAUAGCAUAAGCUCUGGUUUCCCUCAGUUACUUAAAUACAGAUGUAAAAUCAUUGUAUGAAUAUAUUAAAUAAAAUUUAGGUUGUACCCUC
rnacentral:lncRNA from 1 species